GAUGAACGCUGGCGGCGUUCCUAAUACAUGCAAGUCGAGCGAACGGACGAGAAGCUUGCUUCUCUGAUGUUAGCGGCGGACGGGUGAGUAACACGUGGAUAACCUACCUAUAAGACUGGGAUAACUUCGGAAAACCGGAGCUAAUACCGGAUAAUAUUUUGAACCGCAUGGUUCAAAAGUGAAAGACGGUCUUGCUGUCACUUAUAGAUGGAUCCGCGCUGCAUUAGCUAGUUGGUAAGGUAACGGCUUACCAAGGCAACGAUGCAUAGCCGACCCGAGAGGGUGAUCGGCCACACUGGAACUGAGACACGGUCCAGACUCCUACGGGAGGCAGCAGUAGGGAAUCUUCCGCAAUGGGCGAAAGCCUGACGGAGCAACGCCGCGUGAGUGAUGAAGGUCUUCGGAUCGUAAAACUCUGUUAUUAGGGAAGAACAUAUGUGUAAGUAACUGUGCACAUCUUGACGGUACCUAAUCAGAAAGCCACGGCUAACUACGUG
rnacentral:rRNA from 1 species